rnacentral:rRNA from 1 species
ACUCCUACGGGAGGCAGCAGUGGGGAAUAUUGCACAAUGGGCGCAAGCCUGAUGCAGCCAUGCCGCGUGUUGGGAAGAAGGCCUUCGGGUUGUAAAGCACUUUCAGUCGUGAGGAAGGUAGUGUAGUUAAUAGCUGAUUAUUUGACGUUAGCGACAGAAGAAGCACGGCUUAACCCCGUUGCCAGCAGCCGCGGUAAUACGGAGGGUGCGAGCGUUAAUCGGAAUUACUGGGCGUAAAGCGCAUGCAGGUGGUUUGUUAAGUCAGAUGUGAAAGCCCGGGGCUCAACCUCGGAAUUGCAUUUGAAACUAGGCAGACUAGAAGUACUGUAGAGGGGGGUAGAAUUUCAGGUGUAGCGGUGAAAUGCGUAAGAGAUCUGAAGGAAUACCGGUGGCG